AACGAACGCUGGCGGCAUGCCUAACACAUGCAAGUCGAACGAUACCUUCGGGUCUAGUGGCGCACGGGUGCGUAACGCGUGGGAACCUGCCCUUAGGUUCGGAAUAACUCCCCGAAAGGGGUGCUAAUACCGGAUAAUGUCUUCGGACCAAAGAUUUAUCGCCUUUGGAUGGGCCCGCGUUGGAUUAGCUAGUUGGUAGGGUAAAAGCCUACCAAGGCGACGAUCCAUAGCUGGUCUGAGAGGAUGAUCAGCCACACUGGGACUGAGACACGGACCAGACUCCUACGGGAGGCAGCAGUGGGGAAUAUUGGACAAUGGGCGAAAGGCUGAUCCAGCAAUGCCGCGUGAGUGAUGAAGGCCUUAGGGUUGUAAAGCUCUUUUAACCGGGAUGAUAAUGACAGUACCGGGAGAAUAAGCUCCGGCUAACUCCGUG
rnacentral:rRNA from 1 species